CGUGUCGAGUAAUAUCUGGGAAACCGCCCGAUGGAGGGGGAUAACUACUGGAAACGGUGGCUAAUACCGCAUAACGUCUUCGGACCAAAGUGGGGGACCUUCGGGCCUCACACCAUCGGAUGUGCCCAGAUGGGAUUAGCUAGUAGGUGGGGUAACGGCUCACCUAGGCGACGAUCCCUAGCUGGUCUGAGAGGAUGACCAGCCACACUGGAACUGAGACACGGUCCAGACUCCUACGGGAGGCAGCAGUGGGGAAUAUUGCACAAUGGGCGCAAGCCUGAUGCAGCCAUGCCGCGUGUGUGAAGAAGGCCUUCGGGUUGUAAAGCACUUUCAGCGAGGAGGAAGGCAGUCGUGUUAAUAGCACGGUUGAUUGACGUUACUCGCAGAAGAAGCACCGGCUAACUCCGUGCCAGCAGCCGCGGUAAUACGGAGGGUGCAAGCGUUAAUCGGAAUUACUGGGCGUAAAGCGCACGCAGGCGGUUUGUUAAGUCAGAUGUGAAAUCCCGCGCUUAACGUGGGAACUGCAUUUGAAACUGGCAAGCUAGAGUCUCGUAGAGGGGGGUAGAAUUCCAGGUGUAGCGGUGAAAUGCGUAGAGAUCUGGAGGAAU
rnacentral:rRNA from 1 species